GCGGACUUGGAAUAAUCCUGAUCCUCCUUUGACUACCAACGACUCGGACUAUAUUCAAGGGACUUGGUCUACAUCCGAGCCAUUGGAGGAAGCCUCCGAUCCUUGCAAACCGCUGUGUACGAACUGCACCUAAAGCACAAAGAAGGGGGAGAUGUAAGAGGCCGUGGGGCUCCAGGAAAGGCCUGACCCCACUCCAAGUCAUGUAAAGGACAUGAACUUGGCUUGCACGCCAGUUCUUGUGAUCUAGGCAAGCAGACAUUUUGUCAUAGCAACUGUUUGUCAUAGCAACGUCAAACAUAGAUGGAACUAGACAAAGCUUGCCCAGCCUUGCCCAGCCUGUAACGAUCUGCUACUUCCCCAUGAUAGGCCAAGCCCUAGCAGUGAUCUAUGAAGCAUGACCAGCCACAGCUUAGCUAUAAAACAGUGUGUGUAAAAAAUAAAGUUGCUGGUGCUUUGUGCCAGUCCUCCUAA